GCAAAUAAAACGUUUCAAGUGGGACGAUAAAGGCUCCAGCUGAAAUUUAUGUGAUACGAGUAUGUCCGCGAUUUCAGUGGCGGGUUCUAAGUACACUUGCCCACUUGCCCACUUCAUAGUUAAUUAAUCUUAUAUACUUAAAGAGCGCUAACCUGAAAACAGAUUCGUCGUAGAAAAGUAAAAUUCGUAAUGGCUGGUCAGCGGCGUCUGUGCUGCGUUUGUGUAUGCUGUGAGUACUCUGGUGUGGAUGCAGCGAAUCCGCCGUCUCGAUGCGAACGCCAUGGACAACCUGAAACGGAUAAUAUUACAAUGAAAUAGGUUGGUGGAUCGUCUUUCGAACAUUCGACAUGCAUGAGUAAUAUGAUCACAUUUCGCUCUGAUUUUGGCAGCCGACAAUGACAUAACAGAAUUGCAAAAAUUACAUACAAGUGAUAUAAUGAGAAAUGGAGCAUUACAGCGGAAAUAUGCUCGUGUCAUAUGAAACAGAGAGUGUUUGUUAUUGGAGAGCGAUUUAUUUUUAUAAUGCUGAUGGAUAGCUAAGCUAUCAUAAAUUUUAAUGCAAAUUUUUCUCAAAAUGCAUAGAAAUAUUUUAGUUUUAAGGUUUGUAUCUCACAGUUCAAUUUUAAGCUCCUCUGAGGUGCACAUUUUUUCACAUGAGGGCCUUUUUUUCGGAAGAAGCCAACUGUCGAAUCGAAAAUCAAAAAAUUGACUAGCCCAUCGGUCAUUGCCUGUAUGCAUAUACAGUAAUAAAGAUUUUUUUCAACUUUAUAAUUUAAGAUAAUUUUAAGGUAGUUGAGAUCGGUUACAGGAGCAAGAUAUUAUAAAAAAAAUUUAAAUCAAUUGCCGAUUGAAUUGUGCUUUAAUGUCAAGUCAAGAGAAACAAGUGAGGAAGUGCUAAGUACGGGAAUAACCGAAUAUUUUUUUACUCUCACAACUAGCAAAGAUCAAAACCACGAAAAUCUUCAGGUGUAGACAAAACUUUGAAAUUGAACUUAAUAGUAUCACCAUGAUUUCAUCCAUUCUUUCUGAGUUUUAUUAAUUUUUUUUUUUUCAUUUUGACCGAUAGAUGCGGUAUAAAGUGAACCGGAAGUUUGAAAAUAUUUUGUGAUAUAUGAUGAGUGUGAGCCGAUUUUCCCCAUUAUUGGCACAAGUUGUAAUCCGAUUUCGACAAUUUUUAGGCGUAAGUUAAAAUACCUCGAGGACACUAUUUGUACAAAGUUUUACUCCAACAACUUUAUUGGUGUUUAAUUAAUAUACUAUGUAUAAAGU
rnacentral:lncRNA from 1 species